UGGGGAAUAUUGUACAAUGGGCGCAAGCCUGAUGCAGCCAUGCCGCGUGUAUGAAGAAGGCCUUCGGGUUGUAAAGUACUUUCAGCGGGGAGGAAGGGAGUAAAGUUAAUACCUUUGCUCAUUGACGUUACCCGCAGAAGAAGCACCGGCUAACUCCGUGCCAGCAGCCGCGGUAAUACGAAGGGUGCAAGCGUUAAUCGGAAUUACUGGGCGUAAAGCGCACGCAGGCGGUUUGUUAAGUCAGAUGUGAAAUCCCCGGGCUCAACCUGGGAACUGCAUCUGAUACUGGCAAGCUUGAGUCUCGUAGAGGGGGGUAGAAUUCCAGGUGUAGCGGUGAAAUGCGUAGAGAUCUGGAGGAAUACCGGUGGCGAAGGCGGCCCCCUGGACGAAGACUGACGCUCAGGUGCGAAAGCGUGGGGAGCAAACA
rnacentral:rRNA from 1 species